UACGUAGGGGCCUAGCGUUGUCCGGAUUUAUUGGGCGUAAAGAGCGUGUAGGCGGCUAGGUAGAUGGGUUGUGAAACUGGAGGCUCAACCUUCAGACGUCGACCCAAACCCCCUGGCUAGAGUCCGGAAGAGGAGAGUGGAAUUCCUGGUGUAGCGGUGAAAUGCGCAGAUAUCAGGAAGAACACCCGUGGCGAAGGCGGCUCUCUGGGACGGUACUGACGCUGAGACGCGAAAGCGUGGGGAGCGAACAGG
rnacentral:rRNA from 1 species